rnacentral:rRNA from 1 species
CGCGUAGGCGGCUGGAUAAGUCAGAUGUGAAAGUCCAUGGCUCAACUGUGGAAGUGCAUUUGAAACUGUCCGGCUUGAGUAUCGGAGGGGAGUGUGGAAUUCCCGGUGUAGAGGUGAAAUUCGUAGAGAUCGGGAGGAACACCGGUGGCGAAGGCGACACUCUGGACGAAUACUGACGCUGAGGCGCGAAAGCGUGGGGAGCAAACAGGAUUAGAUACCCUGGUAGUC